UGACUGGGGCCGGAACAAGACAC
rnacentral:piRNA from 1 species